rnacentral:lncRNA from 1 species
UUAUUAUGAUCCCCGACUUUGCGUAUUAGCUAUAAGUUCUUUCGGUCCGUUUUUAUGAUCCCCGACAUUGCGUAUAUGCUCUAAGUUCUUUUGGUCGUUUCAUGAUCCCCGACUUUGUGUAUUAGCUCUAAGUUCUUUCGGUCCGUUUUUAUGAUCCCCGACUUUGCGUAUUAGCUCUAAGUUCUUUCGGUCCGUUUUUAUGAUCCCUGACUUUGUGUAUUAGCUCUAAGUUCUUUCGGUCCGUUUUUAUGAUCUCCUACUUUGCGUAUUAGCUCUAAGUUCUUUCAGUCCGUUUUUAUGAUCCCUGAGUUUGCGUAUUAGCUCUAAGUUCUUUCAUUCCGUUUUUAUGAUCCCCGACUUUGCGUAUUACCUCUAAGUUCUUAUGUUCGCUUUUAUGAUCCCCGACUUUGCGAAUUAGCUCUAAGUUCUUUCGGUCGUUUUUAUGAUCCCCGACUUUGCGUAUUAGCUCUAAGUUCUUUUGGUCGUUUUUAUGAUCCCCGACUUUGCGUAUUAGCUCUAAGUUCUUUCGGUCUGUUUUUAUGAUCUCCUACUUUGCGUAUUAGCUCUAAGUUCUUUCGGUCUGUUUUUAUGAUCCCCGACUUUGCGUAUUAGCUCUAAUUUCUUUCAGUCGGUUUUACGAUCCCCGACUUUGCCUAUUAGCUCUAAGUUCUUUCAUUCCGUUUUUAUGAUCCCCGACUUUGCGUAUUAGCUCUAAGUUCUUAUGUUCGCUUUUAUUAACCCCGACUUUGCGAAUUAGCUCUAAGUUCUUUCGGUCGUCUUUAUGAUCCCCGACUUUGCGUAUUAGCUCUAAGUUCUUUUUUUGUCGUUUUUAUGAUCCCCGACUUUGCGUAUAGCUCUAAGUUCUUUCAGUCUGUUUUUAUGAUCCCCGACUUUGCGUAUUAGCUCUAAUUUCUUUCAGUCGGUUUUACGAUCCCCGACAUUGCGUAUUAGCUCUACGUUCUUUUGGUCCGUUUUUAUGAUCUCCGACUUUGCGUAUUAGCUCUAAGUUCUUUC